AGCGAACGCUGGCGGCGCGCUUAACACAUGCAAGUCGAACGAUGAACCCGGAGCUUGCUCCGGCGGAUUAGUGGCGAACGGGUGAGUAACACGUGAGUAACCUGCUCUUGACUCUGGGAUAACUGCUAGAAAUGGUAGCUAAUACCGGAUACGACCCUCGGUGGCAUCACCAGGGGGUGGAAAGAAUUUCGGUCAAGGAUGGACUCGCGGCCUAUCAGCUAGUUGGUGAGGUAACGGCUCACCAAGGCGACGACGGGUAGCCGGCCUGAGAGGGUGACCGGCCACACUGGGACUGAGACACGGCCCAGACUCCUACGGGAGGCAGCAAUGGGGAAUAUUGCACAAUGGGCGCAAGCCUGAUGCAGCAACGCCGCGUGAGGGAUGACGGCCUUCGGGUUGUAAACCUCUUUUAGUAGGGAAGAAGCGAAAGUGACGGUACCUGCAGAAAAAGCACCGGCUAACUACGUGCCAGCCGCCGCCGUAA
rnacentral:rRNA from 1 species